rfam:Triticum aestivum genome assembly, contig: Triticum_aestivum_CS42_TGACv1_scaffold_178091_2DS
GAUUUACUCCCUCCGUCCGAAAAAACUUGUCAUCAAAAUGAAAAAAAAGGUGUAUCUAGAACUAAAAUACAUCUAGAUACAUCCCCUUUUAUUCAUUUUGAUGACAAGUAUUUCCGGACGGAGGGAGUAUUUU